rnacentral:rRNA from 1 species
CAGUCGCCGCGGGAAAACGAGGGGUGCAAGCGUUAUUCGGAUUGAUUGGGUGUAAAGGGUGUGCAGACGGCUUAUUAAGUCACUUGUUAAAUUCUUCGGCCUAACUGAAGGUCUGCAAGUGAUACUGAUGAGCUAGAGGGUGGAAGAGAGAAGCGGAAUUCUCGGAGUAGCGGUAAAAUGCGUAGAUCUCGAGAGGAACACCAAUGGCGAAGGCAGCUUCUUGGUCCAUUCCUGACGUUCAUACACGAAAGCGUGGGGAGCGAACAGGAUUAGAUACCCGAGUAGUCCCUGUCUCUUAUAA